GCGAGCAUGCUGGAAUGGCAGACAGGUACGACUCAGAAUCGUAUGGUUAACAGCCGUGUGGGUUCAAGUCCCAUUGCUCGCA
rnacentral:tRNA from 1 species